rnacentral:rRNA from 1 species
GAUGAACGCUGGCGGCGUGCCUAAUACAUGCAAGUCGAGCGAACAGACGAGGAGCUUGCUCCUCUGACGUUAGCGGCGGACGGGUGAGUAACACGUGCAUAACCUACCUAUAAGACUGGGAUAACUUCGGGAAACCGGAGCUAAUACCGGAUAAUAUAUUGAACCGCAUGGUUCAAUAGUGAAAGACGGUUUUGCUGUCACUUAUAGAUGGAUCCGCGCCGCAUUAGCUAGUUGGUAAGGUAACGGCUUACCAAGGCAACGAUGCGUAGCCGACCUGAGAGGGGGAUCGCCCACACUGGAACUGAGACACGGUCCAGACUCCUACGGGAGGCAGCGGUAGGGAAUCUUCCGAAAUGGGCGAAAGCCUGACGGAGCAACGCCGCGUGAGUGAUGAAGGUCUGCGGAUCGUAAAACUCUGUUAUUAGGGAAGAACAAAUGUGUAAGUAACUAUGCACGUCUUGACGGUACCUAAUCAGAAAGCCACGGCUAACUACGUG